CACUUAAUACUUGAAGUGGGCAAUAGCACAUUAGAAAAUUGGGUUUUCUAAUCUAACCAGGAAGAAUUUUUUCCAGUCAUCACUGGAAAUUUGAAAAAGAGGAAAAUGUUACAUAAGAAGACUUUUCUAUAGUGGUGGAAGAAGGGGAAAUAGGGGCCGGAUGGUGCCCACUUAUUUGAUCCGUUUGACAGAUUAUUUCAACUUUAACCUCUUGAGACUGUGCUAAUAAUAGGUUCAUAUUCGAGUUGAGAAAGUGUUUUAAUCUAUAUCUAAGAUGUUUAGAUAAUAAUAAUUACAUAUUGCAUUAUCUUUUAAAAAAAGUGAAAGGAAGGAGAAAAGAAAUAAAGAAAAAAAAAGAAAAGAAAGGGCAGGCCAGUUAUCAAGCUGGACAUUUCACAGGCAUUAUUUCUGUGCAAGGCAGAGAUCAAUUCAAUGUUCAGUUAAAGAAAGACUCAGGUAAUUUGAAUACUUUGUUCAAGAUUACACAUGCAGUAAGUGUUGAACUGAGAUAGAAACC
rnacentral:lncRNA from 10 species